UAGGGAAUCUUCGGCAAUGGACGAAAGUCUGACCGAGCAACGCCGCGGGAGUGAAGAAGGUUUUCGGAUCGUAAAACUCUGUUGUUAGAGAAGAACAAGGACGGUAGUAACUGAACGUCCCCUGACGGUAUCUAACCAGAAAGCCACGGCUAACUACGUGCCAGCAGCCGCGGUAAUACGUAGGUGGCAAGCGUUGUCCGGAUUUAUUGGGCGUAAAGCGAGCGCAGGCGGUUUCUUAAGUCUGAUGUGAAAGCCCCCGGCUAAACCGGGGAGGGUCAUUGGAAACGGGGAGACUGGAGUGCAGAAGAGGGGAGUGGAAUUCCAGGUGUAGCGGUGAAAUGCGUAGAUAUAUGGAGGAACACCAGUGGCGAAGGCGGCUCUCUGGUCUGUAACUGACGCUGAGGCUCGAAAGCGUGGGGAGCAAACAGG
rnacentral:rRNA from 1 species